AUGGCGGCGUCCGCGCGCACAUGCCUGGUGGUGGCAGCGCUGGCGUGCGCCCUAAUGCUGGCGCUGCGCACGGCGGAUGCGCAGGCGGACGAGGCCCAGAAGCCCAAGUGCGCUCCGGGCGCCGCCAUGCCGUGCCGUGUGGGCGCGUUGCGCGACCCGGAGAACCAGGAGGAGGAGGGCCUGUUGAACGUGAAGGUGCCGAGCAGCGCGGCCGACGACGACUACAGCGAUCCCGACCAGCCCAAGGACCCCGACGAGUCCGAGGGCGAUGACCUCGUCGUCCUCGGCCACUGA
rnacentral:rRNA from 1 species